CCGACUUCCACUGAUGAUGCGCCUCCGUAUUUCAUGGCUAACGUUAUUGUCAGCCGUCAGCAAGGAUCCAAGGACUCGUCUGUAGGGAUUAUGAGAGGUUAGAAGCAGAGUAUAGUUAAAACAAAAUAUGUUCGUGAACCAACGAACUGUUUAACUAGUACUGAAAAUGAAAUCAAUGCAGAUCAUAGUAGGCAUAGGUUUACGUAAGAAAAAGAGGAAUCAGUUUGUUGAUGUGUUUUGGAAAUAAUAAACGUGCUUUUAUAAUGAUGAAGAAA